AUUAAGGUAACACGAUACCGAAUGACGUUACGCCAUGAGUUAUCGUUCCUGACGUUAUCGAAUAACGUUCACACAUAUAAGCCAAUGCAGCGGGUUUUGUGUGGCAUUUUUAACGGUAACUUUCCCUAGAUGCAGAGUGCCGAGAGUUUUGAUGCAAUACGUAGCGGUUAUUUGACAUAGAUUGUUUUAUCGUUUUCCGGCAAUCAUUCUGCUCAUUGUUAAUCUUUAAAAAGUAUUACUUUACUUUUUAAAUAUUCUGUUUCUUUGAUAUUUAAGCAUCUGCACGCUUUAUCUAUAUAUGUUCUUAUGCAUAACAGACACAGUUUUAUCACUUUAUUUUUAUUCUUGGUAUAGAUAUAGGAAGAUGUGGUGUG
rnacentral:lncRNA from 1 species